rnacentral:tRNA from 1 species
GCCCUCGUAGCUCAGUGGAUAGCGCGCCGGCCUUCUAAUCCGUUGGUCGUAGGUUCGACUCCUACCGAGGGCG